UCACUGUGAUAAUGGUGUUCCAACAUUGGCAGUGUCUACCAGAAGGGUAUCCCCCAUGUUCAGUAACCUUCCUCAGAUGCCUGAGUGA
rnacentral:snoRNA from 1 species